rnacentral:rRNA from 1 species
UGCUUGGAAGCAGCAAUUCAUUUAAAGAGUGCGUAACAGCUCACUAGUCGAGUGAUCGAGCGCGGAAAAUAAUCGGGCAUCAAGUGUACCACCGAAGCUAUGGAUUAGCAGCAAAUGCUGUUAGUGGUAGAGGAGCAUUCCAGUCUGCUGCGAAGGUGUAUCGUGAGGUAUGCUGGAGCGUCUGGAAAAGAAAAUGUAGGUAUAAGUAACGAUAAAAUAUGUGAGAAACAUAUUCGCCGUAAGACUAAGGGUUCCUGAUCAACGUUAAUCGGAUCAGGGUUAGUCGGGGCCUAAGGUGCACCCGAGAGGGGAAACCGAUGGGAAAGGAGUUAAUAUUCUUGUACCAGCUUAUGCUGCGAUGGGGUGACGGAGUAGUGAAAGUCCUGCGUACGGACGGAAGUGUACGUUAAAGGGCGUAGUUUAUGAGAGGGCCAGGCAAAUCCAGUCCUUGAGAUGAAACCCGAUAGUACCGCGAUCUUUUAAGAGAGCGGAUAAUGGACCUAAUCAUACUUCCAAGAAAAACCUCUAAGCUUCAGGCAUAAGCUGCCCGUACCGCAAACCGACACAGGUAGUCGAGGAGAGUAUCCUCAGGCGCUCGAGUGAUUCACGGCUAAGGAACUCGGCAAAAUAGACCCGUAACUUCGGGAGAAGGGUCGCCCCGCGCAAGCGGGGCCGCAGUAAAAAGGCUCAGGCGACUGUUUAGCAAAAACACAGGGCUCUGCAAAAUCGAAAGAUGAAGUAUAGGGCCUGACACCUGCCCGGUGCUGGAAGGUUAAGGAAGCUUGUUAGUGGGAAACUGCGAAGCUUGUAACUGAAGCCCCAGUAAACGGCGGCCGUAACUAUAACGGUCCUAAGGUAGCGAAAUUCCUUGUCGGGUAAGUUCCGACCUGCACGAAUGGUGUAACGAUCUGAGCACUGUCUCGGCCGUGAGCUCGGUGAAAUUGUAGUCCCGGUGAAGAUGCCGGGUACCCGCAACGGGACGGAAAGACCCCGUGAACCUUCACUAUAGCUUUGCAUUGGUUUUGAGUAAAUAAUGUGUAGGAUAGGUGGGAGGCUGCGAAGCAGGCACGCUAGUGUUUGUGGAGCCGUCCUUGAAAUACCACCCUUUAUUUACUUAGAGUCUAACUCUUUGAAAGAGGACAGUGCAUGGUGGGUAGUUUGACUGGGGUGGUCGCCUCCAAAAGAGUAACGGAGGCUUUCAA